GGAGAGAUGGGUGAGUGGCUGAAACCAGCAGUUUGCUAAACUGCCGUACUCGCAAGGGUACCGAGGGUUCGAAUCCCUCUCCCUCCG
rnacentral:tRNA from 5 species